UCUGUCCUCAGUUUCCUCAUUCACCGAGCAGUACACGACCCCUUCCUCUUAGGGUUGGCAACUAGCGCAAAUGACAUAUUGGAUAUGAAAAGACUUAAACCCCAGGAAAGUGCAGACACAGGUUGGGAGGCAGCCUGCACUGACUUUUCCAGCAUUUCAGGAACACGCCACGCUUGGUGGUGCGCUGACUGCCUCAUGGCCUUUGCACUAGCAACUGGAACAUUCUUCCUCUUGGUCCUUGCAUGGAUGCAUCCCUUGUAUCAUUCAGAUCUCAGGCCCAAGACAUCACCUGUUCUUCGAACCUGCCAAUGUAGUCCCACCUCCAGUUCCUUGCAUCUACUGUUCCCUCUGCCUGGAAAGUGGUUCCCCCAGGAUUCACAUGGCUGCUUCACUCUUCAUCCAGGGCCCCUUCUCUGCAAGAUCCUCUCUGACCAAGUCAUCUAAGCCAGCCCCUCCACAGGACCCCCUGCUCCUGCUAUGCCUUUACCCGACCUUUAAAAAUUUU